UGUCCGGGAGCUGGCGGCGACCGGCGCGGGGGAAGCUCCGUCCCCGCUCCCCAGGUCGGGCGGGCGGCGUGCGGGGCUGGUGCGUGUCCGUGCCGGGUGUAGUGAUAUAUGGGCACGGGAGGCGGGGGCAGAGGGAGGAAGGGGCGGGAGGAGCCAUCUCCAGCAAAUGAGGGAUCGCUCACCCUACGGCUGAGUACAGCAAAAACAGUUUUUAAAGGAUCUCUCUACGGCGGUGUAUUUAUACGUUGAAGUAAACCUAUUGUUUAGGUAACGGGAUGAAGGCAGGCGGGGUUCCUCUAUCCGUAGGAGCCUUUUCUCUCCUCCCCUGGGAAAACAGAAAGGAGGAAGCUCCUACUAAUGAACCAAGCGCGUCUGUCUUUCACCGGUACCUUACCGUACUUGAGCACGACGAGGACGCACAAAACGUCAGUCAUUGAAAGAGGGAAGAAUGGGAGAGAGUUAAAGGGAAUCCCGGCAGAGAAUUCUGUGGCUACACGGAGCGAAGGUUCUCUUACUUGCAACUUGCCUAGAUGUCCUUAUGACAAGGUGAGGGAAAAGGAAGUCUCAGGUGGGUUAAAGCUUUGUGUUCCUCAGUGUAAGGUUGAGAGGCAGGUUUGUCCCUUGGCAAAUAAAAGACAAAAUCUCUGACCCAUGUAAAA